UCAGGCGGGGACCCAGCCGCCGACCUGAUGGGCAGGGACCGCGCCCCGCCCCGGCCCCACUCCAGCCCCACCCUACCACCAGCCUGAAUUCUUCCGGCUUCAAUGCACGCCACGCUUCAACGCCCGCUACCGCGUGGCGUGCUACCGCGUGGUGUCCUCCCGCUGCUGCAUCGCUUUCCGGGCCGCGGACAGUUCCUCCUGCUGUCACUCCCUGACCAAGUCCUCCGGCACUGGCUCUCCCGACCAUGCGCAGGAAGGCUGGGCUCGCGGGACUCGCGGUUCGGCGUCCCUCCUUCGCCAGGGAGGGAGGCUGCCCUGGCCGGAGCAUCCCGGUCCUGGGAGGCCUGGACUUGCUGGAAGAGCGCGCACGCUUGUCCCGGACUUGUGCACAGACCUGGCCGGCUCCAGUGCCAACCUCAUCCCAAGGGUGACUGCCAUCCGGACCAGCCCAGACCUGCAGUGCCUGGUACGGCCCACUGAGGUGUUCUUGGCGGCCCCAUCACACAAGAUUCCCCCACCCAUACGGAGUUCUUCUGGCCUGGAUGGGGGUUAUCCCGUGAAGACCAUGGCAGGAAGCGGAGCUCAGGACAUUGGCAGCAAGGGCAAGGUGGAACAGGUCCUAUAAGAGACUGGCAUGCCACCCCACAAAGGAACCAUAUAGGAGGAGCACCUGGGGAGCAU